rnacentral:rRNA from 1 species
GUAAUGCCUUAUAAGAUACGUUUGUCGCAUGGCAUUUGUAUUAAACGCUCCGGCGCCAUAGGAUGGACCCGCGUCCCAUUAGCUAGUUGGUGAGAUAACAGCUCACCAAGGCCACGAUGGGUAACCGGUCUGAGAGGGCGAACGGUCACACUGGAACUGAGACACGGUCCAGACUCCUACGGGAGGCAGCAGUGGGGAAUAUUGCGCAAUGGGGGCAACCCUGACGCAGCAAUACCGCGUGAGUGAAGAAGGUUUUCGGAUCGUAAAGCUCUGUUAUUGGGGAAGAAAAAAAGACGGUACCCAAGAAGAAAGUUCCGGCUAACUACGUGCCAGCAGCCGCGGUAAUACGUAGGGAACAAGCGUUGUCCGGAUUUACUGGGCGUAAAGGGCACGCAGGCGGUUUUUUAAGUCAGAUGUGAAAGGCCACAGCUCAACUGUGGACAUGCAUUUGAAACUGAAAGACUUGAGUAUUGGAGAGGCAAGUGGAAUUCCUAGUGUAGCGGUGAAAUGCGUAGAUAUUAGGAGGAACACCGGUGGCGAAGGCGGCUUGCUGGACAAAUACUGACGC